rnacentral:siRNA from 1 species
GGGUCUCUGUUGAGGUGGCACUUA